GGGAGGUAGUGACAAUAAAUAACAAUACGGGGCUCUUUCGGGUCUCGUAAUUGGAAUGAGUACAAUUUAAAUCUCUUAACGAGGAACAAUUGGAGGGCAAGUCUGGUGCCAGCAGCCGCGGUAAUUCCAGCUCCAAUAGCGUAUAUUAAAGUUGUUGCAGUUAAAAAGCUCGUAGUUGAAUUUCGGGAUCAAUACGUCGGUCGUGCCUCCGGUAUGUACUGGCGUUAUUGGUUUCUCCUUUCUGAGGAGCCAUGAUGCCAUUAAUUUGGUGUCGUGGGGAGUCAGGACUGUUACUUUGAAAAAAUUAGAGUGUUUAAAGCAGGCACACGCUUGAAUACAUUAGCAUGGAAUAAUGAAAUAGGACGUUCGAUUCUAUUUUGUUGGUUUCUAGGAUCAACGUAAUGAUUAAUAGGGAUAGUUGGG
rnacentral:rRNA from 1 species